ensembl:rRNA 5S_rRNA 5S ribosomal RNA
GCUUACGGCCAUACCACCUGAACACGCCCGAUCUCGUCAGAUCUCGGAAGCUAAGCAGGGUCGGGCCUGGUUAGUACUUGGAUGGGAGACCGCCUGGGAAUACCAGGUGCUGUAAGCU